CCCUAGCCCUGAUAGUAGCGGCAUCCUUUUGUGGCGGGGUUCGCCACAAAAGAUAUAGCGGAUAGCAGGAAAUAGC
rnacentral:sRNA from 1 species